UUAUUGAGAAUAAAAAUAGAAAUGACAACAAAAAAGCUAAUCUAGAAACAGAAAGUGGAAAGUGAAUCUUCCUCCAAGCUAAGAGAGGUACGACUGAGUGUUCAAAUCCUCUCUUGUGAGUAAAGAUUAAUCAAUGUUUGCCUUUGUGCGAUGAUAGUUUCUCACGAAUUCCAAUUGCCGCACAGGUGUUAACAUAUCUUGGGCGAUUUGGACCUCAAGCAUUGGAGCGGAUCUGAUCUGCUAUAGGUCCAGUUAGCUGUCGGGGACAAGAUCCCAAAUCGGAGGGAAUAGAAUCUGGCAUUAGAAUGUUGAAGCGAGCCACCUCAGUUGAAGUACUGAUAUCAGGUAUACUAACACCAUUUAAAAUAAUUAUCCAAUUCAUUAUCUAUCCUUCAAUGGAAUGAAUCCCUCAAUAGGAGUUAAUACCACCAUAAAAAUCUAGAUAUUGAGCUGGACUACUAUUUCAAAUCUGUUAUGCUUGGGAAAGACUUGUGAUUGAGUUAAACCAAGUUCGGUUUAGUUGAAAAUUAUGAAUGAUGCUUUUAAGUCCUGGUUUAGUACCAAAUGAACACCUCAAAGCUCUCACCAGAUGUAAGGUACUGUCAACCAAUCGAAAUUUCUUCAAACUUAACUAGACAUCGAUCCAACAAUUUUCUUUGUAUCCUUACUUGUAACUCAAGAAUAUAAUUUGUGCAAUUGAUAAUGAA